rnacentral:rRNA from 1 species
GAUGAACGCUGGCGGCGUGCCUAAUACAUGCAAGUCGAGCGAACAGACGAGGAGCUUGCUCCUCUGACGUUAGCGGCGGACGGGUGAGUAACACGUGGAUAACCUACCUAUAAGACUGGGAUAACUUCGGGAAACCGGAGCUAAUACCGGAUAAUAUAUUGAACCGCAUGGUUCAAUAGUGAAAGACGGUUUUGCUGUCACUUAUAGAUGGAUCCGCGCCGCAUUAGCUAGUUGGUAAGGUAACGGCUUACCAAGGCAACGAUGCGUAGCCGACCUGAGAGGGUGGUCGGCCACACUGGAACUGAGACACGGUCCAGACUCCUACGGGAGGCAGCAGUAGGGAAUCUUCCGCAAUGGGCGAAAGCCUGACGGAGCAACGCCGCGUGAGUGAUGAAGGUCUUCGGAUCGUAAAACUCUGUUAUUAGGGAAGAACAAAUGUAUAAGUAACUAUGCACGUCUUGACGGUACCUAAUCAGAAAGCCACGGCUAACUACGUG